AUGCUUGGACAAACCUGUGGAGCCUCAGUGACUCAGAUGGAAGGCCAAGUGACCCUCUUAGAAGAGGCUUCUCUGAAUGUGAACUGCACUUAUUCAGCAUCAGGGUCCCUUACUCUUUUCUGGUAUGUCCAGUAUCCCAGUGAAUGUCUACAGCUCCUCCUGAAAGCCUUGAGGGACAAGGAGAAGAAAAGCAACAAAGGAUUUGAAGCCUCUUUUGAUGGCAGAUCGAAAUCCUUCCACUUGGAGUAA